rnacentral:rRNA from 1 species
AUUGAACGCUGGCGGCAGGCCUAACACAUGCAAGUCGAGCGGAUGACGGGAGCUUGCUCCUUGAUUCAGCGACGGACGGGUGAGUAAUGCCUAGGAAUCUGCCUGGCAGUGGGGGACCACGUUUCGAAAGCAACGCUAAUACCGCAUACGUCCUUCGGCAGAAAGCAGGGGACCUUCGGGCCUUUCGCUAUCAAAUGAUCCUAGGUCGGAUUAGCUAGUUGGUGGGGUAAUGGUUCACCAAGGCGACGAUCCGUAACUGGUCUGCGAGGAUGAUCAGUCACACUGGAACUGAGACACGGUCCAGACUCCUACGGGAGGCAGCAGUGGGGAAUAUUGGACAAUGGGCGAAAGCCUGAUCCAGCCAUGCCGCGUGUGUGGAGAAGGUCUUCGGAUUGUAAAGCACUUUAAGUUGGGAGGAAGGGCAGUAAGUUAAUACCUUGCUGUUUUGACGUUACCGACAGAAUAAGCACCGGCUAACUCUGUGCCAGCCGCCGCGGUAAAAC